rnacentral:rRNA from 1 species
UACGUAGGUGGCAAGCGUUGUCCGGAUUUACUGGGCGUAAAGAGCGCGCAGGCGGUCGUUCAAGUCGCGUGUGAAAGCCCCCCGGCUCAACUGGGGAGGGUCACGCGAUACUGAUCGACUCGAAGGCAGGAGAGGGUAGCGGAAUUCCCGGUGUAGAGGUGAAAUUCGUAGAGAUCGGGAGGAACACCAGUGGCGAAGGCGGCUACCUGGCUGACAACUGGACGCUGAGACUCGAAAGCUGGGGAGCAAACAGG